GAUCCUGGCUCAGGAUGAACGCUAGCUACAGGCUUAACACAUGCAAGUCGAGGGGAAACGACAUCGAAAGCUUGCUUUUGAUGGGCGUCGACCGGCGCACGGGUGAGUAACGCGUAUCCAACCUGCCCAUCACUUGGGGAUAACCUUGCGAAAGUAAGACUAAUACCCAAUGACGUCUCUAGAAGACAUCUGAAGGAGAUUAAAGAUUUAUCGGUGAUGGAUGGGGAUGCGUCUGAUUAGCUUGUUGCGGGGUAACGGCCCACCAAGGCGACGAUCAGUAGGGGUUCUGAGAGGAAGGUCCCCCACAUUGGAACUGAGACACGGUCCAAACUCCUACGGGAGGCAGCAGUGAGGAAUAUUGGUCAAUGGGCGAGAGCCUGAACCAGCCAAGUAGCGUGCAGGAUGACGGCCCUAUGGGUUGUAAACUGCUUUUAUAAGGGAAUAAAGUGGGAGUCGUGACUCUUUUUGCAUGUACCUUAUGAAUAAGGACCGGCUAAUUCCGUG
rnacentral:rRNA from 1 species